rnacentral:rRNA from 1 species
GACGAACGCUGGCGGCGUGCUUAACACAUGCAAGUCGAACGGAAAGGCCCUGCUUUUGUGGGGUGCUCGAGUGGCGAACGGGUGUGUAACACGUGAGUAACCUGCCCUUGACUUUGGGAUAACUUCAGGAAACUGGGGCUAAUACCGGAUAGGAGCUCCUGCUGCAUGGUGGGGGUUGGAAAGUUUCGGCGGUUGGGGAUGGACUCGCGGCUUAUCAGCUUGUUGGUGGGGUAGUGGCUUACCAAGGCUUUGACGGGUGGCCGGCCGGGGAGGGGGGCCGGCCACCUUGGGACUGGGGAACGGCCCAAACUCCUACGGGGGGCAACGGGGGGGAAAUUUGCAAAAGGGGCGGAAGCCUGAUGCAGCAACGCCGCGUGCGGGAUGACGGCCUUCGGGUGGUAAACCGCUUUCGCCUGUGACGAAGCGUGAGUGACGGUAAUGAGUAAAGAAGCACCGGCUAACUACGUG